ensembl:lncRNA
UAAAAAUAGAUCAAUGGCUGCUUGUUUUCUAGGAAUGUGCUUCAGAUUCAGCAAAAAUCUCUUAGUUAGGCUGCAUUUCUGAUAGAAUGGACUACAAAGGACAUGGCUUAUGCUAGCAUCAACUAUCUUGAAUGAGAGUGUUUCUCUAAGAUGUCACAACUUUCCCUGUGGACCAAAAUGAUUCCCUGAGGUCCUCCUUGGGAUUGACUGUGGGAACAGAGGACAGAGAUUGGUGUACAACUAUCACACUUGCUCUGAAAUUCUUGUCCAGCAUUUGACAAAGAAGACCAGAAACUACCCUGCUGACUCCAUUUUUUCAUAGUUACCCCUUAAAGGAGAAAAAAAUAAAAGCAAUAAUAUAGUGAGCAAUUGGAGAAUAGGAAAUAGAUUUUUGUCUUUAGAGGAGUUGUAAAAUGUGUGGCUUCUCUUCAGAAUUCAGAAGUACACAGGGCAGGGACCCAGCAAUUUCAGCACAGAUUCCAAGGUCACAUUUCUCGUGUAGGUGAAUUUGGACAAAGCACAAUAGGGCUUUAUAUAUGCAGAUAUUUACUGGGUUACAGUUCCUUAGACAUGCCAGUGAUUGUCGAUGACAUUGUCACCAUUCUGAAUGGCAGACAAGUUACUCCUCAGUCCAGUCUCCCCUCCAUCUGUCUACUCACUCACCACCACAGUGUGUCUUGGCUAAUUAUUAUAGCUCUUCAGAUGUUCCCAAGCCCGUUGCACUUUUCUUUAACUCAGUAGUAUUUCUUGCGUACCUGUCAUGUUCUGGAUACUAAUGAGUGGUCAACAUGAUCCAAGUUCCCAUGUGAUUUAUGGUCUAGGAGGGAGAGUAGAUUAAAAUAGCAACCCACUUCUAUCAACAAAU